rnacentral:misc_RNA from 1 species
UUUCCGUAGGUGAACCUGCGGAAGGAUCAUUACUGAGUGAGGGCCCCUCGGGGUCCAACCUCCCACCCGUGUUUAACGAACCUUGUUGCUUCGGCGGGCCCGCCUCACGGCCGCCGGGGGGCAACUGCCCCCGGGCCCGCGCCCGCCGAAGCCACCUGUGAACGCUGUCUGAAGUAUGCAGUCUGAGACAAUUAUUAAAUUAAUUAAAACUUUCAACAACGGAUCUCUUGGUUCCG